GGGGAAAAACGAGUCGGGGGUAUGAAAUUUACCUCGUUCGGCGGUCGGAAAUUUCCCCGGUGCGGCGGCGAGCGGCGGCGGGUGGCGGCGGUCGGCCUCUGGUUCGUCUUCUCCGGCGAGCGGCUGGCGGCUAGGGUUUGUGGUCUGGUGUGGGGGUUCUAUUUAUAACCCCUUGCCUUUUGAUCACAGCCGUUUAUUUUGUUUUAAUCUGGGCCGUUCGUUUUUGAUUGAAUCUGGGCCGUCCGUGCGAUUGAAUCUGGGCCGUCCGAUCGCGUGAUUGAUCUGGGCCGUCGGAUCGCACCCACGCGGAUCGCCAACGUGGCUCCUUUCGGAGUGACGCGAUCUUGCCACGUGUCAGGCCCUGGUUGGCCGGG
rnacentral:lncRNA from 1 species